AUUGAACGCUGGCGGCAGGCCUAACACAUGCAAGUCGAGCGGUAGCACAGAGAGCUUGCUCUCGGGUGACGAGUGGCGGACGGGUGAGUAAUGUCUGGGAAACUGCCUGAUGGAGGGGGAUAACUACUGGAAACGGUAGCUAAUACCGCAUAACGUCGCAAGACCAAAGAGGGGGACCUUCGGGCCUCUUGCCAUCAGAUGUGCCCAGAUGGGAUUAGCUAGUAGGUGGGGUAACGGCUCACCUAGGCGACGAUCCCUAGCUGGUCUGAGAGGAUGACCAGCCACACUGGAACUGAGACACGGUCCAGACUCCUACGGGAGGCAGCAGUGGGGAAUAUUGCACAAUGGGCGCAAGCCUGAUGCAGCCAUGCCGCGUGUAUGAAGAAGGCCUUCGGGUUGUAAAGUACUUUCAGCGGGGAGGAAGGUGUUGUGGUUAAUAACCGCAGCAAUUGACGUUACUCGCAGAAGAAGCACCGGCUAACUCCGUGCCAGCAGCCGCGGUAAUACGGAGGGUGCAAGCGUUAAUCGGAAUUACUGGGCGUAAAGCGCACGCAGGCGGUCUGUCAAGUCAGAUGUGAAAUCCCCGGGCUCAACCUGGGAACUGCAUUUGAAACUGGCAAGCUAGAGUCUCGUAGAGGGGGGUAGAAUUCCAGGUGUAGCGGUGAAAUGCGUAGAGAUCUGGAGGAAUACCGGUGGCGAAGGCGGCCCCCUGGACGAAGACUGACGCUCAGGUGCGAAAGCGUGGGGAGCAAACAGGAUUAGAUACCUGGUAGUCCACGCUGUAAACGAUGUCGAUUUGGAGGUUGUGCCCUUGAGGCGUGGCUUCCGGAGCUAACGCGUUAAAUCGACCGCCUGGGGAGUACGGCCGCAAGGUUAAAACUCAAAUGAAUUGACGGGGGCCCGCACAAGCGGUGGAGCAUGUGGUUUAAUUCGAUGCAACGCGAAGAACCUUACCUACUCUUGACAUCCAGAGAACUUUCCAGAGAUGGAUUGGUGCCUUCGGGAACUCUGAGACAGGUGCUGCAUGGCUGUCGUCAGCUCGUGUUGUGAAAUGUUGGGUUAAGUCCCGCAACGAGCGCAACCCUUAUCCUUUGUUGCCAGCGGUUCGGCCGGGAACUCAAAGGAGACUGCCAGUGAUAAACUGGAGGAAGGUGGGGAUGACGUCAAGUCAUCAUGGCCCUUACGAGUAGGGCUACACACGUGCUACAAUGGCAUAUACAAAGAGAAGCGACCUCGCGAGAGCAAGCGGACCUCAUAAAGUAUGUCGUAGUCCGGAUUGGAGUCUGCAACUCGACUCCAUGAAGUCGGAAUCGCUAGUAAUCGUAGAUCAGAAUGCUACGGUGAAUACGUUCCCGGGCCUUGUACACACCGCCCGUCACACCAUGGGAGUGGGUUGCAAAAGAAGUAGGUAGCUUAACCUUCGGGAGGC
rnacentral:rRNA from 1 species